UACGAAGGGGACUAGCGUUGUUCGGAUUUACUGGGCGUAAAGCGCGCGUAGGCGGAUCGCUAAGUCAGGGGUGAAAUCCCAGGGCUCAACCCUGGAACUGCCUUUGAUACUGACGGUCUGGAGAUCGGGAGAGGUUGGUGGAAUUCCGAGUGUAGAGGUGAAAUGCGCAGAUAUCAGGAGGAACACCAGUGGCGAAGGCGGUGCUCUGGGCCGGAACUGACGCUGAGGAGCGAAAGCGUGGGGAGCAAACAGG
rnacentral:rRNA from 1 species